rnacentral:rRNA from 1 species
GCUCCAAUAGCGUAUAUUAAAGUUGUUGCGGUAAAAAAGCUCGUAGUUGGAUUUCUGUUGAAAAUUGCGGGUCCAUACAACGUAUGCGUAUCUCGUCAAGUUUCGGCAUCCUCUCAUAAGACGUCUCUGCGCUUGAUUGCGUGGAACGGAUUGUGGGACUUACUUUGAGGAAAUUAGAGUGUUCACGGCAGGCAAUCGCC